ACACUUAGCACUCAUCGUUUACGGCGUGGACUACCAGGGUAUCUAAUCCUGUUUGCUACCCACGCUUUCGAGCCUCAGCGUCAGUUACAGACCAGAGAGUCGCCUUCGCCACUGGUGUUCCUCCAUAUAUCUACGCAUUUCACCGCUACACAUGGAAUUCCACUCUCCUCUUCUGCACUCAAGUCCCCCAGUUUCCAAUGACCCUCCCCGGUUGAGCCGGGGGCUUUCACAUCAGACUUAAGGAACCGCCUGCGCUCGCUUUACGCCCAAUAAAUCCGGACAACGCUUGCCACCUACGUAUUACCGCGGCUGCUGGCACGUAGUUAGCCGUGGCUUUCUGGUUAGAUACCGUCAAGGCGCUAACAGUUACUCUAGCACUUGUUCUUCUCUAACAACAGAGUUUUACGAUCCGAAAACCUUCUUCACUCACGCGGCGUUGCUCCGUCAGACUUGCGUCCAUUGCGGAAGAUUCCCUACUGCUGCCUCCCGUAGGAGUUUGGGCCGUGUCUCAGUCCCAAUGUGGCCGAUCACCCUCUCAGGUCGGCUAUGCAUCACGGCCUUGGUGAGCCGUUACCUCACCAACUAGCUAAUGCACCGCGGGUCCAUCCAUCAGCAGAAGCUUGCGCCUCUUUUCCUCUUCAAACCAUGCGGUUCGAAGACCUAUGCGGUUUUAGCAUCCGUUUCCGAAUGUUAUCCCCCUCUGAUGGGCAGGUUACCCACGUGUUACUCACCCGUUCGCCACUAGAUUGACCAGUGCAAGCACCGGUCGCUCUCGUUCGACUUGCAUGUAUUAGGCACGCCGCCAGCGUUCGUCCUGAGCCAGGAUCAAACCCUC
rnacentral:rRNA from 1 species